ensembl:snoRNA small nucleolar RNA U85
GCCCAGUGAUGAGACCAAGGCGAAUAUGAGCUUACUGACUGAGAGCUGGUUCCUCCUUGCUUUGACUGGCAGGUAAUCUUGGCAGUGCAGGGGAGGAUUCCUGCUCUGCUGUAAGGGCCUGCCUACAGUGACUUGGCUCACCCCAAAUUAUUUCCUCAAAGUUUUAGUGGAAUAAUUGCAGGGAUGAAGCUGACAGUGUGUGUGCGCGCGCGUGCGUGUGUUUGUGGGCGAGUUUAGGAGCAACGUGUGUGUAUCCAGCUCUCGUCACAGUUCAGUCAGCUAUGCGUUGUUUCUUUGGUAAUCUGAGGGCC